rnacentral:rRNA from 1 species
AACUAUGUGCCAGCAGCUGCGGUAAUACAUAGGUCGCGAGCGUUAUUCGGAUUUAUUGGGCGUAAAGCAAGCGCAGGCGGAUGUAUAAGUUCUGUGUGAAAAGCAGCUGCUCAACAGCUGUUGGCGCCGAAUACUAUACAUCUAGAAUACGGUAGGAAGUUUUGGAAUUGAAUAUGGAGCGGUGGAAUGUGUAGAUAUAUUCAAGAACACCAGAGGCGAAGGCGAAAACUUAGGCCGAUAUUGACGCUUAGGCUUGAAAGUGUGGGGAGCAAAUGGGAUUAGAUACCCCAGUAGUCCACACCGUAAACGAUGGGUAUUAAAUUUUGGGGUUAGUGCCUCAGGGUUGUAGCUUACGUGUUAAAUACCCCGCCUGGGUAGUACAUAUGCAAAUAUGAAACUCAAAGGAAUUGACGGGGACCUGAACAAGUGGUGGAACAUGUUGCUUAAUUCGAUAAUACACGAAAAACCUUACCAAGAUUUGACAUCCCUCGCGAAGCUUUAGAGAUAAAGUCAGAGGUUAUCGAGGUGACAGGUGGUGCAUGGUUGUCGUCAGCUCGUGUCAUGAGAUGUUGGGUUAAGUCCCGCAACGAGCGCAACCCUACUCUCUAGUUGUCUGUUUAGAGAGACUGAACAGUAAUGUAUAGGAAGGUCGGGAUCACGUCAAAUCAUCAUGCCCCUUAUGUCUUGGGCUGCAAACGUGUUACAAUGGCGAGCACAGCGUGUCGCAAACCAGCGAUGGUAAGCUAAUCACUAAAAACUCGUCUCAGUCCGGAUAAAAGGCUGCAAUUCGCCUUUUUGAAGUUGGAAUCACUAGUAAUCCCGUGUCAGCUAUAUCGGGGUGAAUACGUUCCCAGGUCUUGUACAC